rnacentral:rRNA from 1 species
UACGUAGGGGGCAAGCGUUGUCCGGAUUUACUGGGCGUAAAGAGCGUGUAGGCGGCCACGCAGGUCCGUUGUGAAAACUGGAGGCUCAACUUCCAGCCGUCGGCGGAAACCAUCUGGCUAGAGUCCGGAAGAGGAGAGUGGAAUUCCUGGUGUAGCGGUGAAAUGCGCAGAUAUCAGGAAGAACACCCGUGGCGAAGGCGGCUCUCUGGGACGGUACUGACGCUGAGACGCGAAAGCGUGGGGAGCGAACAGG